rnacentral:rRNA from 1 species
UACGGGGGGGGCAAGCGUUGUUCGGAAUUACUGGGCGUAAAGAGCUCGUAGGCGGUCAGUCGCGUCUGCUGUGAAAACUCGGGGCUUAACUCCGGGCCUGCAGUGGGUACGGGCUGACUAGAGUGCGGUAGGGGAGACUGGAAUUCCUGGUGUAGCGGUGAAAUGCGCAGAGAUCGGGAGGAACACCCGUAGCGAAGGCGGCACUCUGGGCCGGUACUGACGCUGAGGAGCGAAAGCGUGGGGAGCAAACAGG